CAACAGUGCAUGAAGCGUAGACUCGGGAGGAGCAGUCUUGCUCCGAGGCGACGGGGGAUUUCUGGUAUUCGCACCUUGUGCGCCGUAUUCCUGAAUCGCGCCGAGGGGCUAUCUUUUCGUUUUUUUUGUCGAGGUGUCUAAUGCGUAGCGGUACUGUUAAGUGGUUUAACGAUGCCAAGGGCUUCGGUUUCAUCGCCCCCGAGGAUGGUGGUGACGACGUGUUCGUGCACUACUCCUCCAUCCAGGGCGAUGGUUUCCGGACCCUGGCCGAGGGCCAGAACGUCUCCUUCGAGAGCGAGACCGGUCCCAAGGGCCCCAAGGCCACUAACGUCGUCGGCCAGUAAGUCCCCCGGCUCAGACUUCGUUGAAGCCCCGCCCCCGUGGCGGGGCUUUUUUU
rnacentral:other from 1 species